UGGGGGAUUUUGCACAAUGGGCGCAAGCCUGAUGCAGCGACGCCGCGUGAGGGAUGAAGGCCUUCGGGUUGUAAACCUCUUUCGCUGGGUUGAAAGGCCAUGCUUUGGGUGUGGUUGAUUUGAACUGGUAAAGAAGUACCGGCUAACUACGUGCCAGCAGUCGCGGUAAUACGUAGGGUACUAGCGUUGUCCGGAUUUAUUGGGCGUAAAGGGCUUGUAGGUGGUUUGUCGCGUCUGUCGUGAAAUCCUGUGGCUUAACCAUGGGCUUGCGGUGGGUACGGGCAGGCUUGAGUGCGGUAGGGGAGACUGGAAUUCCUGGUGUAGCGGUGGAAUGCGCAGAUAUCAGGAGGAACACCGGUGGCGAAGGCGGGUCUCUGGGCCGUUACUGACACUGAGGAGCGAAAGCGUGGGGAGCGAACAGG
rnacentral:rRNA from 1 species